rnacentral:rRNA from 1 species
UACGUAGGGUGCGAGCGUUAAUCGGAAUUACUGGGCGUAAAGUGUGCGCAGGCGGCCGCGCAAGUCGAGUGUGAAAAUCCCCGAGCUUAACUUGGGAAUUGCGCUCGAAACUACGUGGCUGGAGUGUGGCAGAGGAAGGUGGAAUUCCACGUGUAGCGGUGAAAUGCGUAGAGAUGUGGAGGAACACCGAUGGCGAAGGCAGCCUUCUGGGCCAACACUGACGCUCAUGCACGAAAGCGUGGGGAGCAAACAGG